rnacentral:rRNA from 1 species
AGUCAUAUGCUUGUCUCAAAGAUUAAGCCAUGCAUGUCCCAGAAUAAGUAUUUCACAACCAAUCUGCGAAUGGCUCAUUAAAACAGUUAUAGUUUCAUUGAUUGUCGCUUUUACAUGGAUAACUGUGGUAAUUCUACAGCUAAUACAUGCAUUCAAGCCCAACUCUGUGGGAGGGUUAUGCUUAUUAGUUCCAGAACCAACCUAGGCAUUGCCUGGCAGCUUGGUGAUUUAUAACAAGUGCAUGAAUCACAUGGCUUCAGCUGGUGAUAUAUCAUUUAAGUUUCUGACCUAUCAGCUUCCGACGGUAAGGUAUUGGCUUCCCGUGGCAAUGACGGGUACC